rnacentral:lncRNA from 1 species
CUGUAAAUCACGUACAUAUUGUUCAAUCAACUGAGGAUCUCAAUUUUCGAAAAAACUCAUACCAAAAUUCGAGCAUAGUUUUUGUACAGGGUCUCUUUAGGAAAACAAUAAUACGUAUUUAAGCACUCGUGAGAUAUAUAUGAUUGCGGUAGUGAUAAUAUUUCAUGAUUAUCUCUUUAUAGAUUGAAUGUAAAUUCAAGACAUCCCGUUACACAGAAGAGUAAAACUCAUUAUUCAUGCUAAUUGAAGCAGUGAUACUUGUAUUGAUCACAGUUAAGGACAAAUCAAUACAAGGUGGUCAAUGAGUGCACCUAAGAAUAAUAUAUACGCCUACAUUUUUACCGUAUAAAUUUAUAAAUCAAACAAUAAGAUAUCUCGAAUAUGUUAACACAAAGGUAUUGACCAUGAUGCUGUUUAUUGGCUUUCCGUAGCAUAUAUAAACUGUGGCAACGGAUCGAAGAGAGUACAGUACGACUUGAUCUUCGAAGUAGUCUACACAAUUACAAUUUGAAACAUGAAGCUGUUGCUAACUCUCUUCGCUGCGCUAUUCUGCGGGGUAUUUGUCACAAGUGCCCCGUUGGAUAAUGAGGCCCGUGAUAAGAGGCAUCUUCUUAUCAGCCCUGGACCCGCUGUAGUUUCGGUACCACUCGUUGCUCCAGCACCUCUCAUUCACGGACCAGUUGUUGUAGGACCUCAUUGGGCACAUCCUCUUGCUUAUGGUCAUUCAAUUGUCAAGUAUUGGUAGAACGGGACGAAAAUUGAAACGUCGAAAAUUUGUAUAAAUAACAAAUUUCUACUACUUUUGCCAGUUUCAUUUCAAGUAUAAAUUUAAGGACACGAAUUUGAUUUUUGAUGUAAACUAUUUUUAACAGUUCUGAUUCUCAAACUCUCAUAUAGAGAGCUACUAUAUUCCGUCGAAUACUAAAAAUUAUCCAAUUAAUGGGCAUUAAAACCAUUGGCCAAAAAACUGGUUUGUGCCACAAAUUAAUUUCAUCCAUCUGGUAAGAUUUACGUAUAUUGUCUAUGAAAUAUAUAAAUACUAUUUAUUGUUUACAACUGCCUUGAUUACAUAAGGUAAACAAGUGAUAAAUAGAAUUAACAAACUGAAAAAUACAAUAACAAUUAUAUGGUAAAAGUGUGAUAAUUACUUAUCGAUCAGACAGAUUGAAGUAAUUUGAAAAUUGUAAAAAAUCAAAAUACGAAAUAAUCUACAUGAUAAUGAUAAUUAAAAGAAAUCGUUCAAGACAAGAUGGCGAUUAAUAAAAAUUUUCCUCCAGAAUGAUAAAUCUUUGCAAAUUUGUCAUUGGUUUAUUUAAAAUUGAUUAUAUGAAUAACUGCUGUUAUGUAAAUAUAUACAUAAAUAUAUAUAAUACUUCAUUUGAUUCUGGCAUGAGCUAACAACUAUCGAAUUAACUACAUAUGACUAGAAAACUUUGACACGGAGAACUUUUACAACCAAUAAUUCUGAAAAAGUUGUUUGAUGAAGAUUUAUCUGUAUCUAACUGAAAUAUAUAAACAUAAGCAUCAA